rnacentral:misc_RNA from 1 species
GUGAAUCAUCAAAUCUUUGAACGCAAAUUGCACUCCCUGGUAUUCCGGGGAGUAUGCCUGUUUGAGGGUCGUUAGAAUAUAAAAUCGAGGCUUGGCUCUUUUGUUGAGGGUGAUCGCGUCGGAAUUGAGCCGUCUUUCAAAUGUUAAUUCAUGUCAGAGUGGCUUCAAAUUAAUCCACCCGGUACGAUUAAAGCGUAUUUAAGAUCAACUUUGAUUAUGAACGCGCGAUGAUCGUACCAUCUUGUGUAGUCCGUUUGACUUUACGUCGUCA